UACGUAGGGUGCAAGCGUUAAUCGGAAUUACUGGGCGUAAAGCGUGCGCAGGCGGUUUUUUAAGACAGAGGUGAAAUCCCCGGGCUCAACCUGGGAACUGCCUUUGUGACUGCAAGGCUUGAGUGCGGCAGAGGGGGAUGGAAUUCCGCGUGUAGCAGUGAAAUGCGUAGAUAUGCGGAGGAACACCGAUGGCGAAGGCAAUCCCCUGGGCCUGCACUGACGCUCAUGCACGAAAGCGUGGGGAGCAAACAGG
rnacentral:rRNA from 1 species